UACGUAGGGUGCAAGCGUUGUCCGGAAUCAUUGGGCGUAAAGAGCGCGUAGGCGGCCCUGUAAGUCCGUUCUGAAAGUCAAAGGCUCAACCUUUGAAUGCGGAUGGAUACUGCAGGGCUAGAGUCCGGAAGAGGAGAGUGGAAUUCCUGGUGUAGCGGUGAAAUGCGCAGAUAUCAGGAAGAACACCCGUGGCGAAGGCGGCUCUCUGGGACGGUACUGACGCUGAGACGCGAAAGCGUGGGGAGCGAACAGG
rnacentral:rRNA from 1 species